UACGUAGGGCGCAAGCGUUGUCCGGAAUUAUUGGGCGUAAAGAGCUCGUAGGCGGUCUGUUACGUCUGCUGUGAAAACCCGGGGCUUAACCCUGGGCUUGCAGUGGAUACGGGCAGACUAGAGGCAGGUAGGGGAGAAUGGAAUUCCCGGUGUAGCGGUGAAAUGCGUAGAUAUCUGGAGGAACACCGGUGGCGAAGGCGGCAUCCUGGACCAACACUGACGCUGAGUGAGCGAAAGCCAGGGGAGCAAACGGG
rnacentral:rRNA from 1 species